rnacentral:rRNA from 1 species
CCUACGGGAGGCUGCAGUGAGGAAUAUUGGUCAAUGGACGCACGUCUGAACCAGCCAUGCCGCGUGCAGGAAGACGGCUCUAUGAGUUGUAACCUGCUUUUGUACGAGGGUAAACGCAGAUACGCGUAUCUGUCUGAAAGUAUCGUACGAAUAAGGAUCGGCUAACUCCGUGCCAGCAGCCGCGGUAAUACGGAGGAUUCAAGCGUUAUCCGGAUUUAUUGGGUUUAAAGGGUGCGUAGGCGGUCGGAUAAGUUAGAGGUGAAAUCCCGAGGCUCAACUUCGGAAUUGCCUCUGAUACUGUUCGGAUAGAGAGUAGUUGCGGUAGGCGGAAUGUAUGGUGUAGCGGUGAAAUGCUUAGAGAUCAGACAGAACACCGAUUGCGAAGGCAGCUUACCAAGCUACUUCUGACGUUGAGGCACGAAAGCGUGGGGAGCAAACAGGAUUAGAUACCCUAGUAGUC